rnacentral:lncRNA from 1 species
CUGCAGGCUGCGGAUGGGGAGCUGAGGCUGCAGAGCUGCCGGAGGUCGCACGGGGUGUGCCUGUGUCCUGCUGUGCCAGGCCUGACGCCCCCAAGUCCUGGCUGGCCUCUGGAGCCCACAGGAUGCACUCAGUGCUGAUGGGGCCCCAGGACCACCAGGAGGACCCCUUGGCUAGAAUCCGGCACAGCAGGCACCAGAUUCAAACCCAGACUGCAGCGUGUGCUGUGUGGUGCUGACAGAGCUGACCACAGCUCCAGACUGCAGCCAUACACUCAGGAAGGCGCCGUGAGUACUGCCACCAGAACCGAGCCCCAUGGGGCGGCCGGCCCCACGGUGUGUCUGAUGCGUGGUCCCAGCCCAGAGGUAAUGGCAGGACCCAGCAGCUCAGCAUGCCCCAGAGCCUGUCCACUUUCCACUGGAGACAAGCUCAGCAGGAAGAAAAGACCAGCAUUCGUGUCUUCGCAGCUGCCACCCACGGCCACUGGCUCCGUCCUCUCCUCCACUCCACCUCAGAUCUGGUCGACGAAGAGCUGAGCAGCUUUGCUCCGCGCGCUACUGCCUGGGCUCCUGGGACUUCCCGACUGCUCUCCGCGCCUCCGCACACACCCUGCCGGCGGUGUCCUCUGUGGUCUCACAGCAGGGCCCGUGGUCCUGACCGUGGCCAGGUCCCGCCGGGGCAGAGCACGCUGGGCUCGAGUGUGACCUGCUCGGCCACUUGCUCACCACUGACAUUAUCAGACUGCUUGUGGUUCAGCUCCGCAUUCUUCCAGAGUGUUUCUGCACACACACUGUUGUACCUUCCUGUUUCUACCCGAAUGACGUUAACCUCUACCUCUGUUCUGAAACCUUUCACUAGCAAGGUGACAGUGCUCACUUACAAAUACAAGCUCCCUACGCUGCUUCACGUGUUAGCAAACUGAACAUCACCUAAACUCUAACAUCUUGGAAGACGUCUGCCCAGAGUCGGGCCUUACGCAAAGCAGUGAAUGACACACCGAGGCUGAAUACACAGACCAUGAGUCCCGAGGCUCCGGAGGAUCGGGAGCCUCCUCCGACUGACCUGCAGGCGGACGCCACCCCAUGUGCUGGGCCACAGCAGCGAGGCUUCCAAAGGCCCCCAGCAUCUUGGUUCCCAGACUGUGAACUAAGCAGAGCCCAGCAAGUCCCGUUUUUCACCAUCUCAUACUUGGUAUCUUUUGACAAACUGCCCCAAACCCCAGCACGACCCCAUCUUUUCCCAACGUAAGUGCUCAUUGGUUUUUCCUUGAGUAUGAGCCACGGCCCCUGACAGGAAACCAGACCAGCCUGCCACCCUGCUCAGGCUGACUAGUGCUUAUAAAACUGACCAGGUCCCCGGGACAAGGUCCCAAAUCGGUCGAUGCUGCAGUUUAGCUUUAUGACUGGGAGCUCCGGUGUGGACAAUGGCAAAUCCCCACGUCAGUUCUUAGUUCCACGAAAGACACAGGAAACACAAGUAGUCGAUGCUAAAUCACACAACACUGCUUCUGUUGGUUCUUAAGGCCUCCGUAGGUUUCUUCUCUCUCUUUUUUAAAUUCAAAUGAUGCUCUGAAGUGGCCCUCACCCCAGAAACCUCAGAAUGAAAGUAAAGAGGUACUUACAGGGACAGAUCCAUCAAAACUCA